UACGGAGGGUGCAAGUGUUAUCCGGAAUCACUGGGCGUAAAGCGUCUGUAGGCGGUUUAAUAAGUCAACUGUUAAAUCUUGAGGCUCAACCUCAAAAUCGCAGUCGAAACUAUUAGGCUAGAGUAUAGUAGGGGUAAAGGGAAUUUCCAGUGGAGCGGUGAAAUGCGUAGAGAUUGGAAAGAAAACCGAUGGCGAAGGCACUUUACUGGGCUAUUACUAACACUCAGAGACGAAAGCUAGGGUAGCAAAUGGG
rnacentral:rRNA from 1 species